rnacentral:tRNA from 8 species
CGGUGUAGCUCAACUGGUAGAGCAACUGACUUGUAAUCAGUAGGUUGGGGGUUCAAGUCCUCUCGCCGG